AGUUUGAUCAUGGGACUCAGAGUGAACGCUGGCUGUGUAAGCCUAACACAUGCAAGUCGAACGGCAGCACAGGAGAGCUUGCUCUCUGGGUGGCGAGUGGCGGACGGGUGAGGAAUACAUCGGAAUCUACUUUUUCGUGGUGGGAUAACGUAGGGAAACUUACGCUAAUACCGCAUACGACCUACGGGUGAAAGCAGAGGAGAUCUAUCGGACCUUGCGCGAUUGAAUGAGCCGAUGUCGAGAUUAGCUAGUUGGCAGGGGUAAAGUGCCCACCAAGGACGUACGAUCCGAUAGCUGGUCUGAGAGUGAUGACUCAGCCACACUGGAACUGAGACACGGUCCAGACUCCUACG
rnacentral:rRNA from 1 species